UACAGAGGGUGCAAGCGUUGUUCGGAAUUAUUGGGCGUAAAGAGCGUGUAGGCGGCUUUGCAAGUCGGGUGUGAAAGCCCUCAGCUCAACUGAGGAAGUGCGCCCGAAACUGCAGAGCUUGAGUACCGGAGAGGAUGGUGGAAUUCCCCAAGUAGAGGUGAAAUUCGUAGAUAUGGGGAGGAACACCGGUGGCGAAGGCGACCAUCUGGACGGAUACUGACGCUGAGACGCGAAAGCGUGGGUAGCAAACAGG
rnacentral:rRNA from 1 species